rnacentral:tRNA from 1 species
AAUAACUUAUAAUUAGAGUGCAAUAUUGAAGAUAUUGAAGAGAUUAAAUUAUCUUUAAGUAAAGUCG